rnacentral:lncRNA from 13 species
GUCUCUAUUCAAUAUUAACAGAUCAUUAUUUAGUGGCAUUUCAGUUUCAACAGGUAGCCCCUUUGCGAUCUAUUCUUUGUAAAAAAAAAUAUAUAUAUAUAUAUAUAUGAAAUCCAACCAGUUGUUCGUCUUCCAUGCUUUACGCUAUAAUUCAUGCCGUGAUUGAUUUGAUUGUGUACAAACAUUAACGCGACUCGGGUGAAUUGUCAAACGCAUACAGUAACGUUAGUCCCGUCACUUCCUUCGGUAUCCAAACUACAGCAGAGUAUUCUACUUGCAUGGCCUCAAAACUUUCAGCGACGGCGCUGUGAAUUCAACGAGCGUUACAAACUCUUAAAGGCACAGCACCCUCGAAAUGUAGCACAAGGGGAUGUGAUGAUUUGGUUGUGAUCCAACAAGAAAAUCCAAGCUUGCACAAUAAUUAUAGCAUAUGGUAUGGUAUAGGCCACAAGAGAAGGUGAUGCACUGCCUGCUGGGUGGCCUCCAGGUUGGUGACCCUGUGGAGGAGCACUUACGCACUGCUGCAACCAAGUGGUGGUGUGCUCCACGGAAGGGGAAAACAAAUAGCCAGGGCUCUAAACCUGAACAAACAGUGUCAGCUGGUUAGGCACAUUGAUGAAUUUGUGAAUUGGUGAAUUGGAAGAGCCAAGAAGGUCAAGCAAACAGAUCCUUUGUGGUGUGUGCAAACCUCAAGCAUUUAUGGGCUUAGCGCAGAGCCUUGUUGAACAUGCUGAUUUAAAAUGGAUUAUUAUCUGUUCUCUGUAUGUGUUUAGCAUGGGAUAAUUACUUUUGGCGACUAUGGUUAAAGCUGCACCAUGCAGAAAUCGCUCUGCAAUUUCCUGGUUGCAAAAAAUCUAAUAGUUUGCCUAAUUUUAGUUUAUAUGACAAAAAAAGCAUAGAUAAUUCAGAGAAUCAUUGUACCAUUUAAACAAGCUGUGAAAUGUAUUUUCAAUAACCAAAAAUAUAGUAUUUUCAGAUGUUUGAAGCUGGUGUAUAAAACUGAAAGUAAAAGAUGCAAAAAGUAAACGUAAGAAUGGGAAGCAUGGAUAUUAGAGCACAUAGAACAGAUCUACUGCUUCUUAGACUUGCUUUCAAUGAUAAUGACAGAUCUAUAACUCACGUUUCUAUGUGAAUUUGGUAUGGUCGCCCAAAAAAUUACAUAUUACGGCUUUAAUGUUCUUACUUGCUUAAGAGCGUAACACCUGUCACAUCAGGCAAAGGUUUUGUAACAAGCUCUUGACCUAAGUGUCGAUAAUACCAAGGUUUUGAAACAAGCUCUUGACCUAAGUGUCGAUAAUACCAGUAUAGCCCAUUAUGAAUCAAUGAUACAAAUAUAAAGGCUUACAACUGCGUAAGUCACAGAGUAAACAAAAGGUCACGCCAGAAUUAUAACCCCUCACUUCCCCUGAAAGAAGCUUGAGAGAUACCGUUUUAUACUGUUUUUUCAGCAUCAGACUUUCUUUGUUUGCUUGCCUUGCCUUAUAUGGCAUGUUGUUCCCAUUUACUUAAUAAUUUCCGUAUUGUAUAUCCAAACAUCUCAGUCCAAAGUGCAGGACUGUUUGACUUGCCAGUGCACAGUACACAGGUUAGUCACGGCCGUGUACAAAAGGUGUUCAUGAUUAACUAAGCAUUUUAGUGAUCCGGCUAUCAAAAGAGCACAAAGGCCUGUCUGUGUGUGGAUGAUUGUUCGCCUUUUGUAUAAUUUCCUCUCUACAUCAAAGGACCUCUUUGACCAAUAAAAACAUAUACAGACCCAUAAAAGUGUUGAAUUAUUAGUCUGUGGUCAGACAAAGAGUGGAUGUCAGG